rnacentral:rRNA from 1 species
CACGUAGGGUGCGAGCGUUGUCCGGAAUUAUUGGGCGUAAAGAGCUCGUAGGCGGUGUGUCGCGUCGGCCGUGAAAACCUGUGGCUUAACUAUGGGCUUGCGGUCGAUACGGGCAGGCUGGAGUUCGGUAGGGGAGACUGGAAUUCCUGGUGUAGCGGUGAAAUGCGCAGAUAUCAGGAGGAACACCGGUGGCGAAGGCGGGUCUCUGGGCCGAUACUGACGCUGAGGAGCGAAAGCGUGGGGAGCGAACAGG